GUGAUCACGAGCGGCGGACGGGUGAGUAAUACUUAGGAAUCUACCUAGUAGUGGGGGAUAGCUCGGGGAAACUCGAAUUAAUACCGCAUACGACCUACGGGAGAAAGGGGGCAACUUGUUGCUCUCGCUAUUAGAUGAGCCUAAGUCGGAUUAGCUAGAUGGUGGGGUAAAGGCCUACCAUGGCGACGAUCUGUAGCUGGUCUGAGAGGAUGAUCAGCCACACCGGGACUGAGACACGGCCCGGACUCCUACGGGAGGCAGCAGUGGGGAAUAUUGGACAAUGGGGGAAACCCUGAUCCAGCCAUGCCGCGUGUGUGAAGAAGGCCUUUUGGUUGUAAAGCACUUUAAGCAGUGAAGAAGACUCCAUGGUUAAUACCCAUGGACGAUGACAUUAGCUGCAGAAUAAGCACCGGCUAACUCUGUGCCAGCAGCCGCGGUAAUACAGAGGGUGCAAGCGUUAAUCGGAAUUACUGGGCGUAAAGGGAGCGUAGGUGGCUCGAUAAGUCAGAUGUGAAAUCCCCGGGCUCAACCUGGGAACUGCAUCUGAUACUGUUGAGCUAGAGUAUGUGAGAGGAAGGUAGAAUUCCAGGUGUAGCGGUGAAAUGCGUAGAGAUCUGGAGGAAUACCGAUGGCGAAGGCAGCCUUCUGGCAUAAUACUGACACUGAGGCUCGAAAGCGUGGGUAGCAAACAGGAUUAGAUACCCUGGUAGUCCACGCCGUAAACGAUGUCUACUAGUCGUUGGGUCCCUUGAGGACUUAGUGACGCAGCUAACGCAAUAAGUAGACCGCCUGGGGAGUACGGCCGCAAGGUUAAAACUCAAAUGAAUUGACGGGGGCCCGCACAAGCGGUGGAGCAUGUGGUUUAAUUCGAUGCAACGCGAAGAACCUUACCUGGUCUUGACAUAUCUAGAAUCCUGCAGAGAUGCGGGAGUGCCUUCGGGAAUUAGAAUACAGGUGCUGCAUGGCUGUCGUCAGCUCGUGUCGUGAGAUGUUGGGUUAAGUCCCGCAACGAGCGCAACCCUUGUCCUUAGUUACCAGCGGGUUAAGCCGGGAACUCUAAGGAUACUGCCAGUGACAAACUGGAGGAAGGCGGGGACGACGUCAAGUCAUCAUGGCCCUUACGACCAGGGCUACACACGUGCUACAAUGGUAGGUACAGAGGGCAGCUACACAGCGAUGUGAUGCGAAUCUCAAAAAGCCUAUCGUAGUCCGGAUUGGAGUCUGCAACUCGACUCCAUGAAGUAGGAAUCGGUAGUAA
rnacentral:rRNA from 1 species